GCCAGGGAACCAGAGAUCAGCCAGGUAGCCCAACGCCUUUUGUAAUUAUGCAAACUAGACAAUCACCAAUGGUUCACUCCAUCUGCCUUACCUUUCCUUCGGAAACCUCAAUAAAGGCAGUGGCCUAACUCUUCCCCUAGCUCCUGUCUUCUGCCUCCUGACUACCACGGUGUCUUUCCCAUGUGAACUCAGGUGGCAUUUUGUGCCUCUAGGACCUGGCAGCAUGCAACUGACAAGAAGAACAACAAAGAAGGGUCCAAGGGAUCCAUGUGCAGAACAGGAAAGGAUUGUUUAGCUGACAUGGAAGAUUCAAUAUCUGAACAAGGAGUUCUAAAUAAUUCUCUGCACCUUAGUCUGCCAAUACUCAUUCUAAAACUACACAAAGGAGAUUCAAAAUAAAAAGAGGAUGAUAAACGGCAAAACCAUCUGAGACUUUAGGAAUUAUUGACAAAAGGAGUAAGAAUGUGGAGAGAAUUACAUAGCUGCAAAGAAUGUUUGUCAUAGCUGCAAUGGGAGUAAGAAGACAUUGAAGGACAUUGAAUAGAAAGUAGAAACACUUUACAUCAAAAGGAAAGAAAUUCAUACUAUACUUUUAACAAUUUUAUCAACCCGCUUAUUGAUUGUAUUAGUUUGCUAGGACUGCCAUGAUAAAAUACAAUAGUCUAGGUGGCUUAAAUAACAGAAAUAAAUUUUCUUACAGUUGUGGAGGCUAUACAUCCAAAAUCAAGGUGUCAUCAAUGUUGGUUUUUGGUGAGACCUUUCUUCUUGGCUUAUGUCC
rnacentral:lncRNA from 10 species